rnacentral:lncRNA from 10 species
AGGACUCAACAUGUCCGAGACAGUUGAGUACACUUCUACUUUCUCUAACCACUUCUUGACAAUUUGAAUACAGUUUUCAUUUUUAGUCUUCUUAUCAAAAGUGUUCCAAUUGUACUUUUUAUCCUUAAGGACUUUAAAUAUGAUUAUAUAGAAUUUCAUAAAUUUUGCUGGCCUGUGUUGGACAACACAUGAAAAGACACGAAUAUCCUAAUUCCACCAGGAAGUGCUUGUUGUCUACUGUGUGCCCAGGUCUGUGCCACAUAUGGUGGGAAACAUUUGCUUGCAACAAAUUGAGAAAACUGCUGUAUAUGCUUUAAAACCUAACUGGUUUAUUCAACUGCAUUUUAAAAAUAUUUCCAAGGCCAAAGGCUCUUGGACCCUUUUAGAAUUAAAAACAAAUAUCUUACACAGCCAUAUCAGCUGGAACUCUGAGGAAGCAAACUAUCCUAUGGAGGUUAAGCUUUUAAUCUGGCAUGAGAGGAGUUAAAGUGAAGUACUUCUAAGCACCAGAGAAACCAUCUAGUGGGAAAAAAAGAAUUCAUCAACAGGGAGUUGCCAAAUGAGGACACGCACAUGCUUUGCCUUCAUUAUCUAACUUUCUUCCAGUAUAAAUAGAAUUACAUGGAGGUGUAAGGCAUUUCUCUUGAUCUCAGUCAAUGCUGUGCACAUCGUGGGAACUCAGUAAAUGUUGGCAAAAUGAGUAGUGUGAUUGUAAUUGAAAAAGCGAAACAAUUAUAACCAUCAAAAUUACAACUUUAUAAAAUAUCUGCAUAUGGACAAGCACUCUGAGAAAAUACUCCCCCCAAAAAAGUUGUUUUAUUAAUUUUUUAGUUUUCUGAAUUUUUUCUUACAUUAAUUUUUUUCCUAUUAUCGGUUCUACAAUAUAAUUUGAGUAUCAAAAUUUCUUAAUUAGAUGCAUUCAAAUAGAAUCACAGCUUGGGGCAAGUCUCCGUUCACCACCAGGCUUCAAACAUGUCAUGGCAUAUCUGGCAAAUUGGUAGUUUCAGGCUGCCAAGAGGUGAUUUACAUAAGGGUUUUGGUGGAAAGACUGCCAAGAAGUGUGGAUGACAGAGAGGUGGGGGUUGGCCAGACUGCUUUUCAGUCAAUUUGCACAGCUACAGUGCACCAGCCAGUGUUCCAGUUGGUCAGUGCCCAUGCCAUGCCAGCUGUUAAUCCUUGGAUUGAGGGAAUGACACCUUACCUAUCUUGAAGAUUCAUAUUCCAAUACAGCCUCGUGGAGUCCACUAGGAAAGUACCAAGAGCAGAAAUAGGAGUGCACUAAAAUCAUUACUACAUCACACAACAUAAUCAAAAGAUGAGGGGUUACAGCUUGUUGCCACUUGUGCAGAAAAUGAUGGCACGAUUUUGCAGUAUUGGAGAUUCCAGGAAACAAGCAUUUUGAUUCUUUGAGGGCCACAACGGAGGUCAUGAAGAUGUCCAGCAGCACAUGGUAAUGACCUGGCUUAAUGGGGCUGGCUCACUGAUGAGUACUAGAAGUGUUCAAGAAAACUCAGCAGCAGAUAUCCACGUGGCCGCAGAUAUGCCUUAUUCUUGAGCCCAUGUAAAACACUGUGUAGGGGCUCUUAGAAAUUAUGGGCAGAGGAUUUUGCAAGGAGCUGAAGUUCGGCAUCAGCAAGCAAAGACAGGAGCCAAUGAAAUACGGAUUGCGAAACUAUUCCUAAUUAGUUCAUUAUUAAUGUAAUCAGAUAGCUCAUAUAGAGUUAAUGUAAUCAAUAGCUCAUAUAGAAUAUGAGAAUGGGAGGUCCAUCUGCUGUUUCCUCACUUGGUGGUCCCCAUUUCCGCAAGGUUCUUAUUUGUGUUACCAUUUCACGAAAAUGAAAGUAUUGGUAGUUUUUAAAAACAGUUCAGGGCUUUUUUUUUUUUAACAACACAACCCAUAUAUGCAAGUCAAAUACAAUUCUUCAUCUGGUGCUCAACCAAAGAAAGAGUGAUACAUUCCAAUACUGGAGGAAAAACUGGCCUGACUAAAUUUAUUGAUAUUUAAGGUCUUGUAAAGGGUAAUUUUGAAAGUAUGUAAUUUCCACUUAAAAUGCUAUUUUAAGAACCUGAACCUUGCUGUAGUAGUUCCUUUUCAUGCUGCUAAUAACGAUAUACUCGAGACUGGGUAAUUUGUAAAGGAAAAAGGUUUAAUGGACUCACAGUUCCACAUGGCUGGGGAGGCCUCACAAUCACUGUGGAGGGCAAAGGAAGAGGACAUCUUACAUGGCUGCAGGCAAGAGGGCAUGUGCAAGGGAACUCCUCUUUAUAAAACCAUCACAUCUCAUGAGACUUAUUCACUAUCACAAGAACAGCAUGGGAAAAACCUGCCCCCAUGAUUCAAUUACCUCCCCCCAGGUCCCUCCCACUACAUGUGGGAAUUCUGGGAGCUACAAUUCGAGUUGAGAUGUGGGUGGGGACACGGC